rnacentral:tRNA from 1 species
UCCUGGUGGCUCAGACAGUAAAGAAUCUGCCUGUGAUGCAGGAGACCCAGGUUUGAUCCCUGGGUCAGGAA